rnacentral:rRNA from 1 species
AUUGAACGCUAGCGGGAUGCUUAACACAUGCAAGUCGAACGAGUGGCGGACGGGUGAGUAAUAUAUCGGAACGUGCCCCGUUGCGGGGGAUAACUACUCGAAAGAGUGGCUAAUACCGCAUACUCUCGGAUAGGCCGCUAUGUGAUUAGCUAGUUGGUGGGGUAAAGGCUCACCAAGGCAACGAUCCCUAGCUGGUUUGAGAGGACGAGCAGCCACACGGGGACUGAGACACGGCCCAGACUCCUACGGGAGGCAGCAGUGGGGAAUUUUGGACAAUGGGGGAAACCCUGAUGCAGCCAUGCCGCGUGUAUGAGAAGGCCUUCGGGUUGUAAAGUACUUUUGGCAGAGAGGCGGUAUCUGCAGAAGAAGCACCGGCUAACUACGUGCCAGCAGCCGCGGUAAUUC